GCGGGGAUAGCCAAGCCCGGAAACGGCGCAGGACUUAAACGCCGGCGGCCCCGGCGAAGAGAUCCUGCCGCGAAGGCGUUCGCCGGUUCAAAUCCGGCUCCCCGCA
rnacentral:tRNA from 1 species